CCUGAGCUUACUGAAGAGCAAAAGCAGGAGAUCCGGGAAGCUUUUGAUCUUUUCGAUGCGGAUGGAACUGGCACCAUAGAUGUUAAAGAACUUAAGGUGGCAAUGAGGGCCCUGGGCUUUGAACCCAAGAAAGAAGAAAUUAAGAAAAUGAUAAGUGAAAUUGAUAAGGAAGGGACAGGAAAAAUGAACUUUGGUGACUUUUUAACUGUGAUGACCCAGAAAAUGGUAAGUAGCUAAGACAAUUAGCAUGGUAUGGAGCCCCAGUCAUCUGCAGAGGCCCAUGGCAUCUUCCUGUUAAAACAGUCAUGUGACCACAGAGCAGUCCAGGUAGCAGCUGCAUCAGGAGGCCUGCCCUCCCAUCAUGUUACUUUGGGCUCCCAAAACAAGCCCUUGUGCUUCUUCCUCAAGACUUCCAAGCAGAUACCUCUUCCCACAGAAUUCCAAAUCAGUUAGGAAACAGAUAUGGGAUAGGGAGAGAUAUAGGGAUAGGUAGCAAACGUCACCUUGGAUGGAGUGCCUGUCUUGCCUGGUGUUUCUUUGAGGCCAAAAUGGGCUUCCUGACACUUGCUGCAAGUCUAGACUCGAGUUACAUUGUUAAAAAGGAAAGGGUGACCUGACCAGGCAGUGGCAGGGCUACAGGACACGAGUAACCGUGAUGUCCCCCUACUCAUGUGUUUUAUGUUCUACUUCUUAAGUCUGAGAAAGAUACCAAAGAAGAAAUCCUGAAAGCUUUCAAGCUCUUUGAUGAUGAUGAAACUGGGAAGAUUUCGUUCAAAAAUCUGAAACGCGUGGCCAAGGAGUUGGGUGAGAACCUGACUGAUGAGGAGCUGCAGGAAAUGAUUGACGAAGCUGAUCGAGAUGGAGAUGGAGAGGUCAGUGAGCAAGAGUUCCUGCGCAUCAUGAAAAAGACCAGCCUCUAUUAAGAUCAGUGUCUUCUCUUUCUACUGCAAGCAC
rnacentral:sRNA from 1 species